ACUGGUCCUAGAUAUAUCUAAUCUCUAUGUCCCAAAUCCCUCGACUGCUCCUAAUUUGACAGGCUGGCUACUCAUGUCUGGCUACUGUUCUGGCCACAUUCCUUUAGAAGAACUCUACUUUGUUCAACCUAAAUGUGAACCCAAAUUCUUAAAAACAAUUAAGCAUAAUCAACAUCUUUAGAUCAGAAAUUCCACUCCACUAUUACCGUAUAAAGUGUUCCAUGUACCAAAAUUUAAAUAACAAUAUAUUUGUUAAACGCCACUGAUGGUAAUUUAAGUGUCUUUAUUUUAUUUUUUUUUGACAGAGAAUGACUUUGAUGAGUUGAGAGAAGAAGGCUUCAGACGAUCAAACUACUCCGAGCUAAAGGAGGAAGUUCGAACCCAUGGCAAAGAAGUUAAAAACCUUGAAAAAAAUUAGACGAAUGGCUAAC
rnacentral:lncRNA from 1 species